rnacentral:rRNA from 1 species
UACGAAGGGGGCUAGCGUUGCUCGGAAUCAUUGGGCGUAAAGCGCACGUAGGCGGAUAGUUUAGUCAGAGGUAAAAGCCCAGGGCUCAACCUUGGAACUGCCUUUGAUACUGGCUAUCUUGAGUCCGGGAGAGGUGAGUGGAAUUGCGAGUGUAGAGGUGAAAUUCGUAGAUAUUCGCAAGAACACCAGUGGCGAAGGCGGCUCACUGGCCCGGAACUGACGCUGAGACGCGAAAGCGUGGGGAGCAAACAGG